GAUGAACGCUGGCGGCGUGCCUAAUACAUGCAAGUCGAGCGAACAGACGAGGAGAUUGCUCCUCUGACGUUAGCGGCGGACGGGUGAGUAACACGUGGAUAACCUACCUAUAAGACUGGGAUAACUUCGGGAAACCGGAGCUAAUACCGGAUAAUAUAUUGAACCGCAUGGUUCAAUAGUGAAAGACGGUUUUGCUGUCACUUAUAGAUGGAUCCGCGCCGCAUUAGCUAGUUGGUAAGGUAACGGCUUACCAAGGCGACGAUGCGUAGCCGACCUGAGAGGGUGAUCGGCCACACUGGAACUGAGACACGGUCCAGACUCCUACGGGAGGCAGCAGUAGGGAAUCUUCCGCAAUGGGCGAAAGCCUGACGGAGCAACGCCGCGUGAGUGAUGAAGGUCUUCGGAUCGUAAAACUCUGUUAUUAGGGAAGAACAAAUGUGUAAGUAACUAUGCACGUCUUGACGGUACCUAAUCAGAAAGCCACGGCUAACUACGUG
rnacentral:rRNA from 1 species